rnacentral:rRNA from 2 species
UGCAGAAUCCCGUGAACCAUCGAGUUUUUGAACGCAAGUUGCGCCCGAUGCCAUUAGGUUGAGGGCACGUCUGCCUGGGUGUCACGU